rnacentral:rRNA from 1 species
UACAGAGGGUGCAAGCGUUAAUCGGAAUUACUGGGCGUAAAGCGUGCGUAGUCGGUUAUCUAAGUCGGGUGUGAAAUCCCCGGGCUCAACCUGGGAAUUGCAUUCGAUACUGGAUAGCUAGAGUUCGGCAGAGGGAAGCGGAAUUUCGGGUGUAGCGGUGAAAUGCGUAGAUAUCGUUUGGAACGCCAAUGGUGAAAACAGACAGCUGGGAGUGUGCUGACGCUGAGACACGAAAGCCAGGGGAGCGAACGGG